AAGGAGUACAGUUGUAUUAUGACUUUUUCACAGUCUGCAAAAGCUAUAAAAUCUGUCAAAAAGUAGUUUUUCGAAAUUUUGAAGAGAAGGUUAGAUAUGCUAUGCAUGUGAAAUGUAAAAGGAGACCGCGGUGGUGUUGUACAGAAUACACCUUUCCAAGAAAGAUAAGACCAAAAAUAGCAAAACAAAGAGCAGCACAACUUGGAAGGGAUCCAUAAAUUUAACACAGUUGAAUACUGCUCCAUUUCCAGUCCAACUUGAACGGACAACCACAUCUCUAA